UACGGAGGAUGCAAGCGUUAUCCGGAAUGAUUGGGCGUAAAGCGUCCGCAGGUGGCAAUGUAAGUCUGCUGUCAAAGCGUCUGGCUCAACCAGAUAAAGGCAGUGGAAACUACAUAGCUAGAGUAAGGUAGGGGUAGAGGGAAUUCCUGGUGUAGCGGUGAAAUGCGUAGAGAUCAGGAAGAACACCGGUGGCGAAAGCGCUCUGCUGGACCUUAGCUGACACUGAGGGACGAAAGCUAGGGGAGCGAAUGGG
rnacentral:rRNA from 1 species